CUUAAAUUUAUAAAGAGCUAAACCAAUUGUACAAAAAUCAAGCCAUUCUCUAAUUGAAAAAUGGGCAAGGGACACGAAUAGGCAAUUUUCCGUUACAGAAAUCAAAACUAUUAAUAAGCACAUGAAAAAGUGUUCUAAAUCUCUUAUAAUCAGAGAAAUGCAAAUCAAAACAACUUUGAGAUAUCACCUCACACCUAGCAGAUUGGCUAACAUAACAGCAAAGGAAAGUAAUGAAUGCUGGAGGGGAUGUGGCAAAGUUGGGACAUUAAUUCAUUGCUAGUGGAGCUGCGAAUUGAUCCAACCAUUCUGGAGGGCAAUUUGGAACUAUGCCCAAAGGCCCAUAAAAGACUGUCUGCCCUUUGAUCCAGCCAUAGUACUCCUGGGUUUGCAACCCAAAGAGAUAAUGGGGAAAAAGACUUGUACAAAAAUAUUCAUAGUCAUGCUCUUUGUGGUGGCCAAAUUUGGAAAAUGAGGGGAUGCCCAUCAAUUGGGGAAUGGCUGAACAAAUUGUGGUAUAUGUUGGUGAUGGAAUACUAUUGUGCUCAAAGGAAUAAUAAAGUGGAGGAUUUCCAUGGGGACUGGAACAAUCUCCAGGAAUUGAUGCAGAGUGACAGGAGCAGAACCAGGAAAACAAUGGACACAGAGACUGAUACACUGUGGUACAAUCGAAGCUCAGGGAAGAGCAGAGCCAGCCAGGAGAGAAUGUGGAGGCAGAGGAAGACAAUAGUUCCCUUGGAAGAGCUGUGACUACGAGAAAAGUACUGUCCUGGUGAGUGUAUUCUCUUUGUGACUUCUAGAAAAGUACUGUCCUGGUGAGUAUACUCUUUAUCUCUCAUCCAAAAUUUUUGGGGAGGGAGCAAGAGGGGAGGUCUGCUGGGGAAAGGGACCCACUGAGCCUCCACUCAGCUUUUUGCUGCUUGUAAAGAAAAAGACUGCCCCAAGUCCUAGUGGUGUGGGAGGAGGUGGGGGGUAGUGACUAGCCCAAGGUCACACAGUGUGUC
rnacentral:lncRNA from 1 species